GACUCCUACGGGAGGCAGCAGUGGGGAAUAUUGCACAAUGGGCGCAAGCCUGAUGCAGCCAUGCCGCGUGUAUGAAGAAGGCCUUCGGGUUGUAAAGUACUUUCAGCGGGGAGGAAGGCGAUAAGGUUAAUAACCUUGUCGAUUGACGUUACCCGCAGAAGAAGCACCGGCUAACUCCGUGCCAGCAGCCGCGGUAAUACGU
rnacentral:rRNA from 1 species